rnacentral:rRNA from 1 species
ACAAAGGUAUUGAAAUAAGACUUUAAUUGAGUGCUAAGAGAAUGGAUUAACGGAAAAAUUCUUUUUUAAUUUCAAAAAUUGAAGUUAUUUUUGUUAGUGAAGAAACUACAAUAAAAAUUAAGGACAAGAAGACCCUAAGAAUUUUAAAUAAUUUAAAAAAAAAUUUUUUUUUAAAUUAUUUUAAUUGGGGCGAUUAAUAAAAAUAAGAAACUUUAUUUCUCCAAAAAAAAUGAACCAUUAAUAAUGGUCAUAUGAAAAAAAUACUCUAGGGAUAACAGCGUA